UUUGAUAAAAUGUCUCUAUGGUGGUUUUUUGUUCUUAUUGUGAAUAAAGCAGAUAUGAGGGGGGUUUGGCGGUGUUCUUGCACUCUUUGGUGAGCCUUUAGAUGCCAUUCCUCUGUUGCUUAAGCCGCUUCCUCAAAGCUUGUUGCCAAAAACCCGUCAUUUUGCUGGGACUAAGUGAUAUUUUGAAACCUGAUUUGAUAAUGCCAUUCAUCCGCACAGUGCCAUUUGCACACCAUUUAGCAUUUUACUUACAUGAGCAUGCAAGGUCAAUUUACUCCGGAGGAUAUAUUGGAAUUGUUGCAGAGUUCAACUUUUUGCCGACGAGUAAAUUCUCCGCUUAUUAAAUAAUUUGAAGCCCCACUUCUUGGGACUCUAUCAUGCGUGUCGUACUGUCAAAUUUACUGGUUUGUCUUUUCUUGAGGCACUUGAGGAUUCUGUUUUGGUUUCUGGAUCAUCAAAGUCUGAGUCAAAGGAAGAUGACAAGGAUUUAAGAUCUCAAUCUUGUAAUCGGAAUGACUCUAUGGAGGACACCCAUUAGCAGAUACACUUUCACGUAUCUUUGUUCAUUUCUUUUCUCCUUGAUUCUGAAGAGUUGUUGGCUAUCCUUUCAAUACUCUCAAGCCUUCAGAAGGCCAUUGAACAAAUGGGAGAACUCAGAGUUGUUCCUUGCUUGCUUAGCAUCAUUAGAGAGAGCAUUUGUAGACGUAACAAGGAGAAUUGCAUUGCAACCCUCCAAACCAUCUGUUAUAAUGUGGCCUCUCGGGCCCUUAAUUUGUGUAGUCAUUCUCAAUUACCCUUUUGUAUCUUCUCAUUUUGUCUAGAUUCAGUUUCAGCUUCAUGAGUUAAUUGCUAUGAUUCUGGAAAUAAGUAAAAGGAAGCUUUAUUCAUAAAAUUGUCUCUUGUUUUGUUUUAUUUUGCUUUUACUUGUGAUUUGGUGUUGUAAGGAGGAAGUCUGCAUUUUUGCGGUUUUAGCAAAGAAAGUUUGGAUGAGACGUAAUGUAGUAGUGCAUGGAGGGGUAUUUACUCUUACAAUUUCAAGGGAAUCCGUGUGUGCAGGGAAGUAAUGUGAAUGGUGGGGUGGAGGCUCCUGUCAUGGAAACCACCAGUUUUUGGAAGAUUUAAAGUGAAUUGGGAUGUGGCUCUUGAUACUAAAAUCAAUUGUAUGGGUUUGGGUGUUAUUGUGAGGGAUCAUAAAGGAUUAAUACAUGCUGCACUGAGCUAAACUUUAAACUGUUUACAUCCCUCAGCAAUAGCGGAAGCAGUUGGAGUAUUACGAGCUGCUGAAUUUUGUUGUGAUUUGGGCUUGCAUAACGUGGUUCUAGAAGGUGAUUCUUUGAUUGUGGUCCAAGAUAUUCUUGCCUUAGCUUGGAAUUGGUGCGCUCAUGGACAAAUUGUGGCAGAUAUUAGGGUGGUUCUAAACUCUAGAAGGAGUUGGAUGGUCAUGCAUACUAAAAGGGAUGCGAAUCAAGCGGCACAUGGACUAGCCAAGCAAGUAGUUAGGAAUCAAAUGGAUUGUAUUUGGAUAGAGGAAAUUUCCAACUGUAUUUCAAAUAUUGUCGUUUUAGCGCAUUCUGCUCUUUCCAUUUAGAGUGUUUAGCUCUAGAUGUUUAUUGGUAUUAC